rnacentral:rRNA from 1 species
AAUCUUCCACAAUGGGCGAAAGCCUGAUGGAGCAACGCCGCGUGGGUGAAGAAGGUUUUCGGAUCGUAAAACUCUCUUGUAAGGGAAGAACAAGUACAGUAGUAACUGGCUGUACCUUGACGGUACCUUAGUAGAAAGCCACGGCUAACUACGUGCCAGCAGCAGCGGUAAUACGUAGGUGGCAAGCGUUGUCCGGAAUUAUUGGGCGUAAAGCGCGCGCAGGCGGUCCUUUAAGUCUGAUGUGAAAGCCCACGGCUCGACCGUGGAGGGUCAUUGGAAACUGGAGGACUUGAGUGCAGAAGAGGAAAGUGGAAUUCCAAGUGUAGCGGUGAAAUGCGUAGAGAUUUGGAGGAACACCAGUGGCGAAGGCGACUUUCUGGUCUGUACCUGACGCUGAGGCACGAAAGCGUGGGGAGCGAACAGG